UUAACCGUUAGUUUACUAAUGGAGCGGUUAGUGGCGGACUGGUGAGUAACACGUAAGCAACCUGCCUAUCAGGAGGGAACACAGUUAGAAAUGACUGCUAAUACCGUGUAUGCCUUAGCAACACAUGUUGCAAAAGGGAAAGGAGCAAUUCGCUGAUAGAUGGGCUUGCGUCUGAUUAGAUAGUUGGUGGGGUAACGGCCUACCAAGCCGACGAUCAGUAGCCGGACUGAGAGGUUGAACGGCCACAUUGGGACUGAGAUACGGCCCAGACUCC
rnacentral:rRNA from 1 species